rnacentral:rRNA from 1 species
ACGGAAGGCAGCAGUGGGGAAUAUUGCACAAUGGGCGAAAGCCUGAUGCAGCGACGCCGCGUGAGCGAAGAAGUAUUUCGGUAUGUAAAGCUCUAUCAGCAGGGAAGAUAAUGACGGUACCUGACUAAGAAGCACCGGCUAAAUACGUGCCAGCAGCCGCGGUAAUACGUAUGGUGCAAGCGUUAUCCGGAUUUACUGGGUGUAAAGGGAGCGUAGGCGGUUUUACAAGUCUGAUGUGAAAGCCCGGGGCUCAACUCCGGUAUUGCAUUGGAAACUGUAGAACUAGAGUGUCGGAGGGGUAAGUGGAAUUCCUAGUGUAGCGGUGAAAUGCGUAGAUAUUAGGAGGAACACCAGUGGCGACGGCGGCUUACUAGACGAUUACUGACGCUGAGGCUCGAAAGCGUGGGGAGCAAACAGGAUUAGAUACCCUGGUA